rnacentral:rRNA from 1 species
ACGAACGCUGGCGGCGUGCUUCACACCUGCAGGUCGCACGGAAAGGCCCUGCUUUUGUGGGGUGCUCGAGUGGCGAACGGGUGAGUAACACGUGAGUAACCUGCCCUUGACUUUGGGAUAACUUCAGGAAACUGGGGCUAAUACCGGAUAGGAGCUCCUGCUGCAUGGUGGGGGUUGGAAAGUUUCGGCGGUUGGGGAUGGACUCGCGGCUUAUCAGCUUGUUGGUGGGGUAGUGGCUUACCAAGGCUUUGACGGGUAGCCGGCCUGAGAGGGUGACCGGCCACAUUGGGACUGAGAUACGGCCCAGACUCCUACGGGAGGCAGCAGUGGGGAAUAUUGCACAAUGGGCGGAAGCCUGAUGCAGCAACGCCGCGUGCGGGAUGACGGCCUUCGGGUUGUAAACCGCUUUCGCCUGUGACGAAGCGUGAGUGACGGUAAUGGGUAAAGAAGCACCGGCUAACUACGUG